AUUGAACGCUGGCGGCAUGCCUUACACAUGCAAGUCGAACGGCAGCAUGAUCUAGCUUGCUCGAUUGAUGGCGAGUGGCGAACGGGUGAGUAAUACAUCGGAACGUGCCCUGUAGUGGGGGAUAACUAGUCGAAAGAUUAGCUAAUACCGCAUACGACCUGAGGGUGAAAGUGGGGGACCGCAAGGCCUCAUGCUAUAGGAGCGGCCGAUGUCUGAUUAGCUAGUUGGUGAGGUAAAGGCUCACCAAGGCGACGAUCAGUAGCUGGUCUGAGAGGACGAUCAGCCACACUGGGACUGAGACACGGCCCAGACUCCUAAGGGAGGCAGCAGUGGGGAAUUUUAGACAAUGGGCGAAAGCCUGAUCCAGCAAUGCCGCGUGUGUGAAGAAGGCCUUCGGGUUGUAAAGCACUUUUGUCCGGAAAGAAAUGGCUCUGGUUAAUACCUGGGGUCGAUGACGGUACCGGAAGAAUAAGGACCGGCUAACUACGUG
rnacentral:rRNA from 1 species